AUAUACUAGCUGUGCCCGGCCACGCGUUGCUGUGGCUUUUUUUUAGUGAUGUUGGUCAAUCUACAUUGGGUUUUAUUUUUGUUGUGACCGUCAACAAAAAUUAUACAGUAUUAUUUAUUCAUUUAUUACAUUAAAGACAUAUGAUAGGAUAUUACGCUAUAACAUAUACGACUAUUUCACAAUAUUAGUAGUAAUAUAUAUAUAUAUAUUGUUUUGUUUUGUUAUUAGUAUUAUAUUGUAGUGUAUUAUAAUAUUAUUAGCAGUAUUAUAUGUAUAUACAAUGUAUUGUAUUAUAUAUGUAUUGUAUUAUUAUAUAUAUUAAUAUAUUGCAAAUUGGCCCCAGAGUACGGAAUGGCCUUGUAGUUUCAAAGCUUGGGUGGUUCCGUGUGUUAGAGGGGGGGAAUGCUUUGUUGGGAGGUGCUAGGUGGUCCUGAUUGUUUCCUGGAUGGAAUUUGUGUGUUUUCAGACUGUUGUUGUUUAUUUACUGUGCUGAGAUGAGAGAGUGAUGAGUACGGAAUGGCCUUGUAGGUUCAAAGUGUGGGUGGUUUCCUGUGUGAAGGGGGGAAUCCUUUGGUGGGAGGUGUUAGAUGGCCCUGAUUGUUUCCUGGAUGGAAUAGCUGUGUUUUUAGAGUGUUGAUCUUUAUUUACUGUCCUGAGAUGAUAUUGUUGUGUAUUAUUGUACCACAGUAAUUAUUUCAUAUUACAGUAGAAUCUCACCCAACAUUCGUUUAUGCAAUGUUCUGGAUUAUGCAAUGGAGUCUGCCUUUUAAUAGUCAAUGUUUUUGGAGUGAGUGUUUUUAAUGUAUUGUGAUAUUUUGGUGGUAAAUUUGCAAAUACAGUAAUUACUACAUAGCAUUACUGCGCAUGGAACUACUUUUUGUGUCAAAUUUAUUGUAUAACAUGAUGUUUUGGUGUUUAAUUUGUAUAAUGAUGACCUAAUUCGAUGUGUAAUUGGUUUUCCUGAAUCCCUUCUUAUUAUCCAACAUAUUUAUUUAUGCAACGUUCUGCCGGCUUGUUUAUGUUGGAUAAGUGAGAUUCUAGUGUAUAUUUAUAAUGUGAUAUUAUUUGUUUAGAAGUGGAUUAUAUGAGGCGCCUUCUACUAUAAUAAUAAUUAUUAUUAUAACAGAAGGCGCCUCAUAUAAUCCACUUCUAAACAAAUAAUAUCACAUUAUAAAUAUACACUAGAAUCUCACUUAUCCAACAUAAACAAGCCGGCAGAACGUUGCAUAAGUAAAUAUGUUGGAUAAUAAGAAGGGAUUCAGGAAAACCAAUUAGGUAAUCGAAUUAGGUAAUCAUUAUACAAAUUAAACACCAAAACAUCAUGUUAUACAACAAAUUUGACACAAAAAGUGGUUCCAUGCGCAGUAAUGCUAUGUAGUAAUUACUGUAUUUACAAAUUUACCACCAAAAUAUCACAAUACAUUAAAAACACUCACUCCAAAAACAUUGACUAUUAAAAGGCAGACUCCAUUGCAUAAUCCAGAACAUUACAUAAACGAAUGUUGGAUAAGUGAGAUUCUACUGUAAUAUGAAAUAAUUACUGUGGUACAAUAAUACACAACAAUAUCAUCUCAGGACAGUAAAUAAAGAUCAACACUCUAAAAACACAGCUAUUCCAUCCAGGAAACAAUCAGGGCCAUCUAACACUUCCCACCAAAGGAUUCCCCCCUUCACACAGGAAACCACCCACGCUUUGAAGGUACAAGGCCAUUCCGUACUCAUCACUCUCUCAUCUCAGCACAGUAAAUAAACAACAACAGUCUGAAAACACACAAAUUCCAUCCAAGAAACAAUCACACCCAGCUAACACCUCCCACCAAACGAUUCUCCCCCCCAGGCAUGGAAGCAGCCAGGCUUUGAAGGUACAAGGCCAUUCCGUUCUCAUCACUCUCUCAUCUCAGCACAGUAAAUAAACAACAACAGUCUGAAAACACACAAAUUCCAUCCAGGAAACAAUCAGGGCCAUCUAACACUUCCCACCAAAGGAUUCCCCCCUUCACACAGGAAACCACCCACGCUUUGAAGGUACAAGGCCAUUCCGUACUCAUCACUCUCUCAUCUCAGCACAGUAAAUAAACAACAACAGUCUGAAAACACACAAAUUCCAUCCAAGAAACAAUCACACCCAGCUAACACCUCCCACCAAACGAUUCUCCCCCCCAGGCAUGGAAGCAGCCAGGCUUUGAAGGUACAAGGCCAUUCCGUUCUCAUCACUCUCUCAUCUCAGCACAGUAAAUAAACAACAACAGUCUGAAAACACACAAAUUCCAUCCAAGAAACAAUCACACCCAGCUAACACCUCCCACCAAACGAUUCUCCCCCCCAGGCAUGGAAGCAGCCAGGCUUUGAAGGUAUAAGGCCAUUCCGUACUCAUCACUCUCUCAUCUCAGGACAGUAAAUAAACAACAGUCUGAAAACACAUAAAUUCCAUCCAAGAAACAAUCACACCCAGCUAACACCUCCCACCAAACGAUUCUCCCCCCCCCCCAGGCAUGGAAGCAGCCAGGCUUUGAAGGUACAAGGCCAUUCCAUACUCAUCACUCUCUCAUCUCAGCACAGUAAAUAAACAACAACAGUCUGAAAACACACAAAUUCCAUCCAAGAAACAAUCACGGCCAGCUAACACCUCCCACCAAACGAUUCUCCCCCCCAGGCAUGGAAGCAGCCAGGCUUUGAAGGUACAAGGCCAUUCCGUACUCAUCACUCUCUCAUCUCAGGACAGUAAAUAAAGAGCAACACUCUGAAAACACUGGAAUUCCAUCCAGGAAACAAUCAGGACCACCUAGCACCUCCCAACAAAGCAUUCCCCCCCUCUAACACA